rnacentral:ncRNA from 2 species
CAUCCAUCCCGAGCGGCCGAGAGACCUGGCUCGUCGACGCCGCAGCAACCACCCAGCGAUGGGCAGGUGCUUCCGCCAGGACCGAUGGAGG